CUCAUUAAAUCAGUUAUCGUUUAUUUGAUAGUACCUUACUACUUGGAUAACCGUGGUAAUUCUAGAGCUAAUACAUGCUAAAAACCCCGACUUCGGAAGGGGUGUAUUUAUUAGAUAAAAAACCAAUGCUCUUCGGGGCUCCUUGGUGAUUCAUAAUAACUUAACGAAUCGCAUGGCCUUGUGCCGGCGAUGGUUCAUUCAAAUUUCUGCCCUAUCAACUUUCGAUGGUAGGAUAGUGGCCUACCAUGGUUUCAACGGGUAACGGGGAAUUAGGGUUCUAUUCCGGAGAGGGAGCCUGAGAAACGGCUACCACAUCCAAGGAAGGCAGCAGGCGCGCAAAUUACCCAAUCCCGACACGGGGAGGUAGUGACAAUAAAUACUGAUACAGGGCUCUUUUGAGUCUUGUAAUUGGAAUGAGUACAAUUUAAAUCCCUUAACGAGGAACAAUUGGAGGGCAAGUCUGGUGCCAGCAGCCGCGGUAAUUCCAGCUCCAAUAGCGUAUAUUAAAGUUGUUGCAGUUAAAAAGCUCGUAGUUGAACCUUGGGCCUGGCUGGCCGGUCCGCCUCACCGCGUGCACUGGUCCGGCCGGGCCUUUCCUCCUGGGGAGCCGCAUGCCCUUCACUGGGUGUGUCGGGGAACCAGGACUUUUACUUUGAAAAAAUUAGAGUGUUCAAAGCAGGCCUAUGCUCGAAUACAUUAGCAUGGAAUAAUAGAAUAGGACGUGUGGUUCUAUUUUGUUGGUUUCUAGGA
rnacentral:rRNA from 1 species